rnacentral:rRNA from 1 species
AUUGAACGCUGGCGGCAUGCCUUACACAUGCAAGUCGAACGGCAGCAUGCUCUAGCUUGCUAACUUGAUGGCGAGGGGCGAACGGGUGAGUAAUACAUCGGCACGUGCCCUGUAGUGGGGGAUAACUAGUCGAAAGAUUAGCUAAUACCGCAUACGACCUGAGGGUGAAAGUGGGGGGCAGCAAGGCCCCAUGCUAUAGUGGCGGCCGAUGUCUGAUUAGCUAGUUGGUGAGGUAAAGGCUCACCAAGGCGACGAUCAGUAGCUGGUCUGAGAGGACGAUCAGCCACACUGGGACUGAGACACGGCCCAGACUCCUACGGGAGGCAGCAGUGGGGAAUUUUGGACAAUGGGCGAAAGCCUGAUCCAGCAAUGCCGCGUGUGUGAAGAAGGCCUUCGGGUUGUAAAGCACUUUUGUCCGGAAAGAAAUGGCUCUGGUUAAUACCUGGGGUCGAUGACGGUACCGGAAGAAUAAGGACCGGCUAACUACGUG